rfam:Ornithorhynchus anatinus Cont7.10, whole genome shotgun sequence.
UGUGUAGAAAUGAACUCUCAUCAUAGUUUCAAUGAAAUUCAUAAUUUUAGUAAAAUGUUAAUGGUUAAUGUGCUAAUUUAAAGAGUGAAAAGAUUAGUGAUGUGUGACUAAAGUAAUGCAUUCUAUUGCAUGGAAAUAGGAAUAUAAUAAAUGUCCUGCAGGUGAUUGAGCUACUGCAAUUUUAUUGAAGAUUAAAGUUUGAUUGACCUUUGUUAGGGUGAUUAACCCUUCUGAAAUUAAAAGCCAGUGCUAAAUUGUUCUGUCCAAUUUAAAUGCAAA